AGUGGCCAUGAGUCUUUGGAACUCUUUCCCACAAAAGACAGUGAAUCAAGGUGCUUGUGAAGCUGACAGGAAAUCCUCCGUGAUCAUCUUGAAGAAGGGAGCAGGAAGGAGGGACCUAUUGUCUACUCCUCUCUUACAUGAGCUGAUACAACAAGAGCUCACAAACUGAAAAGUUAAUCUGUCCAGGAGAAAUUUGAAGAUGCUAAUCUAUCAUAUGAAUCUGAAAAAUCAUGAAGUGGUCAAGAGAUACUGAGGCCUCAUCUGAAGACUAAAGACCUGACCAUUCAGAAAAGUUUGAAAUGUGUGUUGUGAUUGUAAAAAAUUGGAUAUAAAGAUUGUGAUUUAAUUGAUAUUGAGAUUCUACCAGGCCAAUUGCCACCUUUCAUUAAUGCUCACACUGACCAGACAGUGGGACUCAUUAUAUCGCCAGAGUUUUGGAUCAUGUGUAUUUGCAAAUGAAUAUGUUGGUUUGAAGUUGAGAAUGCAGACAAGUUGAUGUGUUGGUGUUGAUUCAUUUAUUUAUUUGCUAUUCACACACCAAGUUAGAAGUCAUGGUCAUGGUCAUUCCAGCUGAUCUGUCUUGUUUGUAUUCCGUCCUGACUGUUAAUGAAAAAGUAAAAUGCCUGUGCUUCAAGCUUCA